rnacentral:tRNA from 1 species
GGCCCUGUCGUCUAGCGGUUAGGACAUCGGGUUCUCAUCCCGAUAACUGGGGUUCGAUUCCCCACGGGGUCA